rnacentral:snoRNA from 1 species
AUCCCAUGAUGAGGACAGGCGGCCACAUACUCCUGAAGUCGUUCCCACGCCUCAGGAAUGGACUCGUCCCUUGUCUGCUGGAAACUCAAAAUUCUUCCGUGAAGGGC